CCUACGGGAGGCAGCAGUGAGGAAUAUUGGUCAAUGGACGAGAGUCUGAACCAGCCAAGUAGCGUGAAGGAUGACUGCCCUAUGGGUUGUAAACUUCUUUUAUAAAGGAAUAAAACGAGGCACGUGUGCCUUUUUGCAUGUACUUUAUGAAUAAGGAUAGGCUAACUCCGUGCCAGCAGCCGCGGUAAUACAGAGGAUCCGAGCGUUCUCCCGCUUUAUUGGGUUUAAAGGGAGCGUAGAUGGGUUGUUAAGUCAGUUGUGAAAGUUUGCGGCUCAACCGUAAAAUUGCAAUUGAUACUGGCAGUCUUGAGUACAGUUGAGGUAGGCGGAAUGCGUGGUGUAGCGGUGAAAUGCUUAGAUAUCACGAAGAACCCCGAUUGCGAAGGCAGCUGACUAAACUGUGACUGACAUUGAUGCUCGAAAGUGUGGGUAUCAAACAGGAUUAGAUACCCUUGUAGUC
rnacentral:rRNA from 1 species